rnacentral:rRNA from 1 species
CGGGCUUAGUGGCGGACGGGUGAGUAACGCGUGGGAACGUACCCUUCUCUACGGAAUAGUCCCGGGAAACUGGGUUUAAUACCGUAUACGCCCUUCGGGGGAAAGAUUUAUCGGAGAAGGAUCGGCCCGCGUUGGAUUAGGUAGUUGGUGGGGUAAUGGCCCACCAAGCCGACGAUCCAUAGCUGGUUUGAGAGGAUGAUCAGCCACACUGGGACUGAGACACGGCCCAGACUCC